GCUGCCGCUCGCACCCACUGCUGGUGCCCGGCGCUGGUCCCGAUCAGUUGGCACUAUCAGUGGGUGCGAGCGGUGGCUG
rfam:Myotis brandtii contig225194, whole genome shotgun sequence.